CUUUGGUCCACCCCACCUACCCUCCCAUCUGACUCAGGGAGUUUCUUUUCUCCUUCCCUCCUCACUUUUGUUGCACUUUGUCUGUAUCUGAUGAUUGUUCUGACUGUUGAUCUGUUGAUUGUGACACACUGAGGACAUUGUGUCGUUUAAGUGUGGUCUAUUAGGGGAGGUUGUUCCUUUGUUUAUGUUUCGAUUUUUAGGUAGUUUGUUGUGUCUUGUGUACAAUUUUGCAUGCUUUUUGUGAAUUCUGGACUGUGAUUAGGUUGCUAGUUUCCCUUCACUGCAUUGAUACUCUGUUUUGUUGGACUCCUUGCUCUUCUUUGCUUGGAAGAUAAUCAUGAUGUUUGAGAGUUGGAUUGAUUGUGACCGAUUACCUGUGUGAGAUUUGAGCCAUUUGAUGAUCUUUCUUGUGUGUGAUAUGUCUCUGGAUUGCUUACACAUUUACCUUGGCUUGACUCUGUUGAUAAUUCUUGAUUCAUGAGCAUGUUUGAAAAUGAUAAAGGCAUUUUGUUGAUUGAGCCUCUCUAGCCAGAUAGCCUACCCUGUUAUGAUCUCUUUGUUAGCCUCCUUGAGCCUAUACUUCCCCCAUUUCUUUGUUUUGAAGCUCAUACAAUACUAUAAGUGAAAAACCAUGAUCACCUGAACCUUAGGAAUUUUGGAGCUUUGGAAUUGUUUUGGGAAUAAGUGUGGUCUCUUAGGAGUUGCAGAUGAAUUGGCUAAUGAGUCCUCUUCUUGCGGUUGCACUAUAGAUACCAUGUAUCUUGUCUUUUGAAUUGUGAGUUGAUUAAAAAAAAAAAAAGAGAAAAUGCAAAAAAAAAAAAUUUAAUGCAGAAAACAUAAACUAACAAAGAAAAAUCAGAGUCUCCCCCAAUAGACCACACUUAAACUACACAAUGUCCUCAGUGUGCCACAAUCAACAGAUCAACAGUCAGAACAAUCAUCAGAUACAGACAAAGUGCAACAAAUGUGAGGAGGGAAGGAGAAAAGAAACUCCCUGAGUCAGAUGGGAGGGUAGGUGGGGUGGACCAAAGACGUCUCCUCCACCACUGCAUCCAACAAAGAAGGAUUGCUGAGGAAAGGCUUCAGUCUAUGCCCGUUCACCUUGAAGCUUUUAGCUGCAUAUGGACCCUCGAUCUGUACUGCACCAUAAGGAUAAACAUUAGUCACAACAAAAGGUCCAGUCCACUUUGAUCUCAACUUACCACCCAUGAGGCCAAGCCUAGAGUUAUACAAUAAAACAUGCUGGCCAACCUUGAAGUCCUUUUUAGCAAUGGAACUAUCAUGGAAGCUCUUGGUCCUUUCUUUGUAGAACUUCGAGUUCUCAUAGGCCUCCAAUCGGAUCUCAUCCUAUUCAUUCAGUUGCAACUUUCGUUCCUCUCCAGCUUGGUCAAUGGAGAAGUUGCAAGUCUUCACAGCCC
rnacentral:lncRNA from 1 species